rnacentral:rRNA from 1 species
GGCUUUGAGCGAUCAGAGUUAGUGGCGCACGGGUGCGUAACGCGUACACAACAUACCCUUGACUGGGGGAUAGCGGUGGGAAACUGCCAGUAAUACCCCAUGGUCUUCGGAGCCGGCAUCGGUUUUGGAGUAAAGUUUAGGCGGUCAAGGAUUGGUGUGCGUCCGAUUAGCUGGUUGGUGGGGUAACGGCCUACCAAGGCGACGAUCGGUAGGGGGUGUGAGAGCAUGGCCCCCCACACGGGUACUGAGACACGGACCCGACUCCUACGGGAGGCAGCAGUAAGGAAUAUUGGACAAUGGUCGGAAGACUGAUCCAGCCAUGCCACGUGCAGGAAGAAGGCCCUCUGGGUUGUAAACUGCUUUUGGACGGGAAUAAACCGCCUGAUGCGUUGGGCGCUGAAGGUACCGUCAGAAUAAGCACCGGCUAACUCCGUGCCAGCAGCCGCGGUAAUACGGAGGGUGCGAGCGUUAUCCGGAAUUACUGGGUUUAAAGGGUGCGUAGGCGGCCUGGUAAGUCAGUUGUGAAAUUCCCUUGCUUAACGAGUGGAGUUGCGAUUGAUACUGUCAGGCUUGAAUCGGGAUGAGGCAGGCGGAAUGUGGCAUGUAGCGGUGAAAUGCAUAGAUAUGCCAUAGAACACCGAUUGCGAAGGCAGCCUGCUGGGCCUGUAUUGACGCUGAGGCACGAAAGCGUGGGGAUCAAACAGGAUUAGAUACCCUGGUAGUCCACGCCCUAAACGAUGCUUACUUGCUGUUCCUGGUAUGCUGGGUGCGGCGUAGCGAAAGCGUUAAGUAAGCCACCUGGGGAGUACGCCGGCAACGGUGAAACUCAAAUGAAUUGACGGGGC